CAGCAGCCGCGGUAAUACAGAGGGUGCAAGCGUUAAUCGGAAUUACUGGGCGUAAAGCGCGCGUAGGUGGUUUGUUAAGUUGGAUGUGAAAUCCCUGAGCUUAACUUAGGAAUUGCAUUCGAUACUGGGAAGCUAGAGUAUGGGAGAGGAUGGUAGAAUUCCAGGUGUAGCGGUGAAAUGCGUAGAGAUCUGGAGGAAUACCGAUGGCGAAGGCAGCCAUCUGGCCUAAUACUGACGCUGAGGUACGAAAGCAUGGGGAGCAAACAGGAUUAGAUACCCGCGUAGUCCCUGUCUCUUAUAC
rnacentral:rRNA from 1 species